rnacentral:rRNA from 1 species
GUGAGGAAUUUUGCGCAAUGGGGGCAACCCCGACGCAGCGACGCCGCGUGGAGGACGAAGUCUUUCGGGAUGUAAACUCCUGUCAGUGGGGACGAUAAUGACGGUACCCACAGAGGAAGCACCGGCUAACUCCGUGCCAGCAGCCGCGGUAAGACGGAGGGUGCAAGCGUUGUUCGGAAUUACUGGGCGUAAAGCGUAUGUAGGCGGCAAGUUAAGUUCAAUGUUAAAGCCCACGGCUCAACCGAGGAGAUGCAUUGAAUACUGGCUAGCUAGAGGGUGUUAGAGGAAGACGGAAUUCCCAGUGUAGCGGUGAAAUGCGUAGAUAUUGGGAGGAACAUCGGUAGCGAAAGCGGUCUUCUGGGACAUACCUGACGCUGAGGUACGAAAGCGUGGGGAGCAAACGGGAUUAGAAACCCUUGUAGUCC